GAUGAAGAACGUAGCAAAAUGCGAUACUUGGUGUGAAUUGCAGAAUCCCGUGAACCAUCGAGUUUUUGAACGCAAGUUGCGCCCGAAGCCUUUGGCCGAGGGCACGUCUGCCUGGGCGUCACGCAUCGCGUCGCCCCCCACAAUUCUCCGUAAAGGGAACAUGUGUUUUGGGGGCGGAUAUUGGUCUCCCGUGCUCAUGGCGUGGUUGGCCGAAAUAGGAGUCCUUUCGAUGGACGCACGAACUAGUGGUGGUCGUAAAAACCCUCGUCUUUUGUUUCGUGCUGUUGGUCGCAAGGUAAACUCUUUAAAAACCCCAAUGUGUCGUCUCUUGACGACGCUUCGACCGCGACCCCAGGUCAGGCGGGACUACCCGCUGAGUUUAAGCAUAUCAAUAAGCGGAGGA
rnacentral:misc_RNA from 1 species